rnacentral:rRNA from 1 species
AUUGAACGCUGGCGGCAGGCUUAACACAUGCAAGUCGAGCGGAGAUGAGGUGCUUGCACCUUAUCUUAGCGGCGGACGGGUGAGUAAUGCUUAGGAAUCUGCCUAUUAGUGGGGGACAACAUUCCGAAAGGAAUGCUAAUACCGCAUACGCCCUACGGGGGAAAGCCGGGGAACUUCGGACCUUGCGCUAAGAGAUGAGCCUAAGUCGGAUUAGCUAGUUGGAGGGGUAAAGGCCUACCAAGGCGACGAUCUGUAGCGGGUCUGAGCGGAUGAUCCGCCACACUGGGACUGAGACACGGCCCAGACUCCUACGGGAGGCAGCAGUGGGGAAUAUUGGACAAUGGGCGGAAGCCUGAUCCAGCCAUGCCGCGUGUGUGAAGAAGGCCUUUUGGUUGUAAAGCACUUUAAGCGAGGAGGAGGCUACCUGGAUUAAUACUCUAGGAUAGUGGACGUUACUCGCAGAAUAAGCACCGGCUAACUCUGUGCCAGCAGCAGCCGCAGUAA